GCAUAGUUCAAAAUCGAUGUUCAAACCAUUGGGUUGUAAAGUCCCAAGGUUGAACAUCAAUCUAAUUUCUUGUCCUAAAAUUAGGUUAAAGUCUCCCCCUCUCCAGUUCUCUAGAACUUUGUGUAUACCAGUAAAAAUCAGUCCUUUAGGAUUACUAUUAUGGAAGGUUUUAAAAUGAUUGGAGACACUAUGUCCCUCAUAUCCUUUCUUAAUAUUUCUGAUGUGUUCCU